rnacentral:rRNA from 1 species
UACGAAGGUGGCAAGCGUUGUUCGGAUUUACUGGGCGUACAGGGAGCGUAGGCGGUUGGAUAAGCCCUCCGUGAAAUCUCCAGGCUUAACCUGGAAAGUGCAGAGGGGACUGUUCAGCUAGAGUGCGGGAGAGGAGAGUGGAAUUCCUGGUGUAGCGGUGAAAAUGCGCAGAUAUCAGGAAGAACACCCGUGGCGAAGGCGGCUCUCUGGAACGCAACUGACGCUGAGACGCGAAAAGCGUGGGGAGCAAACAGG